AAUUCAUGAUGCUUGUGGAGUUACAAAUAUGGAGAAUAUGAAUAAUUAUGCUUUACAUAUUUGUUUUAGGAUAAAUUUGAAGUUAGUGGUAUGCGAGAACAUGUGUUGCAAGCUCUUGUUGUUGAUACUAUGCGAAGGCUUUUUAGAGCAUGGAAGACUCGAUUGCAUAAAGAAUACAAUCUCUAUAAUACUGAUAAAGAGAGAUUGUCUCAUAGGCCGGAUGAUGUUCCGCCUGAGGAUUGGGUGUUUCUUGUAAGACUUUUUGGGAGUCCGAAAUUCAAGGCUGCAAGUGAGAGGAACAAACUUAAUAGGGGAAAACAGAUAACUAAGCACUCUUGUGGCUCAAAAUUAUUUGUCGAAGUGGAGGAAUCGACGAGAGAUCAUGUUAGUGGAAACAAAGCAGCACCAGAUCGAGUUUGGGAGCUCCAACAUACUCGUAAGGAUGACAAAGGAGAAAUAGUGUGAUCGGAUCCACCGUCGCAACAAAUUCAUGGCCAACUCAAGAAAAUUGUAACUCAACAACAAUCUGAAGAAAAUGAGCAGCCAAUGAGUGCAGAUGAGAUUUUAGCCACUGUACUUGGCCAACGAACUGGCUAUGUUCGUGAAAAAGGGUAUGGAAAGAAGCCUACAAAAAAAAGCAGUUUGCAGCAGGUAGACUUAGAGGUGAGUAUGCCUUCUCAAAUGGAAAGAAUGCGUCAAGAGAUGCAAGAGGAAAUGGAUCGAAAAUUACAAGAAGAACGUGCGCAAAUGGCUGCCGAGUUGAAAAGCAAGCUAGAAGAAGAAAUGGUUGCUGAGUUGCAAAGUAAGCUAGAAGAACAAAUUAUUGCUGAGCGUGCACGGAUGGAUUUACAUGUUGACAAAAAGUUUGAAGAAAAGAUGGAUGCAUGGCUGAUCAGAAUGCAACUGCAAGGACAAGAUACUUCAAGAACGAGGAAGUGAAGUUGCUCAAGGUGUAGUUUGAAGAUAUUUUUAUGGACAAGAUACUUCGUGAAAUGGCAUUGUAUAUACAUUGACUACUUUUGACCGUGUAGACUUUUUAACAUUAAAAAGACUACAAUUCUUUAUUUUGAGAAUUAUUAUC